ACUUAAGUUUUUAGAAAGAAAAAAAGAUAACAUAGAGGCACAUAGCAGAAGAGGGUUUUGGAGAGAUAACAGAGGAAGCUCAGAGAGCAUUGGGUGAUUUCAAUCGGGAACAAAUUUAGAGCAACUUUCGAUCCAAAGGUGAUAGCUGUGAGUGAAGACUUAGUCCGUGAGUUCGAGUCGGUUGUCGCUCUGAUACGUAGCACUUGGGGGGACAAACACAUUGAUUGUAGUCACAAACAUUCAGUUAUAUAUUCUCCGCACUGCCCUUAUGUCUACGUGUCUCAUUGUUAUAACAAACUUACUGACUUGGUUUCCUGAAUUGGUAUUAUGACAGAAGGCACUUGGAUUUACUAAUUACUUGCCCAUUAUGAAAUAUUGAUUGUGAUACUUGGUUGCUAAAUUUCUAGUUGGAUUUCUAAGGCUUGUGCUUACUCAUUAACUACCUUGUUAUCUGCUUAGUAAAGUAGCUCUUGGAUGCUCAUGAUUAGAUUUUUGUAGCGGGAUACGAUAUCAACCUUAGUGGCUACCAGCUACUGUUGUAUAAAAUGGUAUAUGUCAUAUUUCCUGUUGUAA